GACAGAGGGUGCUAGCGUUGUUCGGAAUUACUGGGCGUAAAGGGCGCGUAGGCGGCUCGUUUAGUCGGGUGUGAAAUCCCAAGGCUCAACCUUGGAACUGCAUUCGAUACUGGCGGGCUAGAGACCGGAAGAGGUGGGUGGAAUACCCAGUGUAGAGGUGAAAUUCGUAGAUAUUGGGUGGAACACCGGUGGCGAAGGCGGCUCACUGGUCCGGUUCUGACGCUGAGGCGCGAAAGCGUGGGAGCAAACAGG
rnacentral:rRNA from 1 species